CAAUAGCGUAUAUUAAAGUUGUUGCAGUUAAAAAGCUCGUAGUUGGAUUUCUGUUUUGGAUGUCCGGUCCGCUCCCUCUGGGAGUGCGUACUUAUGGAUGUUCGAGGCAUUUUUUGUGAGGUCGCUUUUCUGCCAUUAAGUUGGUGGUCUUGCGGGCUUGCAUCGUUUACUGUGAAAAAAUUAGAGUGUUUAAAGCAGGCGUUUGCUCAUUUGAAUACAUUAGCAUGGAAUAAUAAGAUACGGCCUUGGUGGUCUAUUUUGUUGGUUUGCACACCAGGGUAAUGAUUAAUAGGGACAGUUGGGGGUAUUCAUAUUUCAGCGUCAGAGGUGAAAUUCUUGGAUCGCUGAAAGAUGAGCUUAGGCGAAAGCAUUUACCAAGGAUGUUUUCAUUAA
rnacentral:rRNA from 1 species